CUUCGGUGCGCGUGCUGGAGAGCGGCAGGAGCUCGGCCUUCUUAGGGUGUUUGGGACCCCAUCCAGCGUGGUUUUGCUUUAGUUCCCCGCCCAGGGAGAGGAGCUCGGCAAGCAGCACCGGGUUUAUUCUUGCUCAUUUAUUCAAAAGAAAGGUACUGAGUUUGAAAAUGCACCAAGCACUGGAGAGAAGAGAAAGGUGAAAGGACCUCGGGGCCUGCCUGUAAGAGGCUCAGGAUGUGAUGUGGCUGGGGAUGAGGCCCGGUGGCACCUUCAACGCAGGAGAGGAGGGGGUCUGGAUCCCACCGUCAGAGCACGCACGCAACCUGUCCACUCCCUCAGGACUGCAGAAAAGGUCCAUUCUUGUAUUUCUUUUUAAGUUGAAUUAAAUCCAUCUCUAGCCCCUGCCUCUGAACUGAUGGAGUCUGGCUGUCAUUGGGCCUCCCUCACCCGCAAGGGGUGGAACCAGAGCUUGGGGCUGAGGCGCUCCUGGAGUGUUUAGCGCCUCUGCUGUCAGGACAUCCUGUGGCCACUGGCACGCUGUCUGCCCACACAGUGCCCCCGACCAGCAGCGGAGCCACCCACUCUCCACAGCCAGGGUUGGGAGCCCUGGGGCCCGAGUCCCCGGUCCCACGUGCCACACAAGGCAGGACAUUCUGGGUGCUGUCGCAUCCCCGGAAUCAGGGCCUGGACCCUGGUCAGAGCAGGACCUGCAGGUGACCCCGGGUGGGGCAGACUGUCUUCUGUCCUUGGUGGCAAAGCCGGUGUUCUCGGCGUCAUGUCUGCACACGUGUGCCUGAAGCCACGGGAACGCAGGGGCUACCUCUGGGCCUGGGCCUGGACCUGUGGAGCAGGAUCGGGGAGGACACACAGGUGGGCGUCUCAAGAACUGUGGUGUACACAGCUGAGCCCCUGCAGCUCUGCUUUGCCGGGCCUCACCCUCGGUGCUGGGUGCAAGACGUGACAAGAUGGCAUGGGAAGCUUCCCGGGGAACGCUGGAACUGGGUGUUUGAAGGAGGACCUCAUGGCGGCAGCUCCAGCCCAAGUACUGCAACUGUGGGGCCGUGCCAGGAGCAGGUGCUGCGGAGCCUGUGUGGGUCCAGGACAAGAGUUCCCAGGAGAACCUGGUGCUGCUGCUUCGGGGACCCCACUUUGAGGACCACUGAUCUAACACUGCCCCUCGUGGCAAACGCGGAAUGACUCAAGAUUCAGCUGGAUGGAUCAUUCAGGGAGCAAAUCCACCCUUGCCGCCUGGCACACCCUGGCCAUUCGGUAACGAUGCCAUCAGGGUUACUGGCUUCUUCAUUCUCCACUGUGCAUUCCAGGGUGGGCAUUUCCACAGUUGUGAGCCCAUCAUCAACUCAGCGAGUUCCCAUUUUCCAGUUAGAAAAUAAGCUUUCUGAUCGUUAGCCAUUCACUUCAAUUGGCUCUAGAAAAGAUUUCUGGGAUGUAUAAUUUAUUUUUAACAUAAAGAAAAGCUAAGUGUAAACUAGAUAAGCUACAAUUGUCCCAGACGUUAUAGACACUCACAGCACCGUUUUCCUCUUCUAGCAAAACAAAACAAAAAAUUCUGCAAUCAUACAGGCAGUAGGAAAAAAAAAUUAGCUGGACACCAUGGCUCACACCUGUAACCCCAGCACUUUGGGAGGCCGAGGUGGGAGGAUCACUUGAGGCCAGGAGUUAGGGACUGGCCUGGGCAACAUAGUGAGAUCCCAUCUUUAUAAAAAUAAAAAAAAUCUGGGCGUGGUGGAGCACACUUGUGGUCCUAGCUACUCAGGAGGCUGAGAGUGGGGAAUCGUUUGAUCCCAGGAGGUUGAGGCUGGAGUGAACCAUGUUUGCACCACUGCACUUCAGCCUGGAUGGAUGACAGAGUAAGAUCCUGUCUC
rnacentral:lncRNA from 1 species